UACGUAGGGAGCAAGCGUUGUCCGGAAUUACUGGGUGUAAAGGGAGCGUAGGCGGGAUAGUAAGUUGAUUGUUAAAACUAUCGGCUCAACUGAUAGAUGCGAUCAAAACUGCAAUUCUUGAGUGAAGUAGAGGCAGGCGGAAUUCCUAGUGUAGCGGUGAAAUGCGUAGAUAUUAGGAGGAACACCAGUGGCGAAGGCGGCCUGCUGGGCUUUAACUGACGCUGAGGCUCGAAAGUGUGGGUAGCAAACAGG
rnacentral:rRNA from 1 species